GGAGGGGUGGCAGAGCUUGGUUGAAUGCACCGGUCUUGAAAACCGGCAGGUCAGCAAUGGCCUCGUGGGUUCGAAUCCCACCCCCUCCGCCA
rnacentral:tRNA from 1 species